GAUGAACGCUGGCGGCGUGCCUAAUACAUGCAAGUCGAGCGAACAGACGAGGAGCUUGCUCCUCUGACGUUAGCGGCGGACGGGUGAGUAACACGUGGAUAACCUACCUAUAAGACUUGGAUAACUUCGGGAAACCGGAGCUAAUACCGGAUAAUAUAUUCAACCGCAUGGUUCAAUAGUGAAACACGGUUUUGCUGUCACUUAUAGAUGGAUCCGCGCCGCAUUAGCUAGUUGGUAAGGUAACGGCUUACCAAGGCAACGAUGCGUAUCCGACCUGAGAGGGUGAUCGGCCACACUGGAACUGAGACACGGUCCAGACUCCUACGGGAGGCAGCAGUAGGGAAUCUUCCGCAAUGGGCGAAAGCCUGACGGAGCAACGCCGCGUGAGUGAUGAAGGUCUUCGGAUCGUAAAACUCUGUUAUUAGGGAAGAACAAAUGUGUAAGUAACUAUGCACGUCUUGACGGUACCUAAUCAGAAAGCCACGGCUAACUACGUG
rnacentral:rRNA from 1 species